rnacentral:rRNA from 1 species
AACAGGAUUAGAUACCCUGGUAGUCCACGCCCUAAACGAUGUCUACUAGUUGUCGGGUUUUAAUUAACUUGGUAACGCAGCUAACGCGUGAAGUAGACCGCCUGGGGAGUACGGUCGCAAGAUUAAAACUCAAAGGAAUUAACGGGGACCCGCACAAGCGGUGGAUGAUGUGGAUCAAUUCGAUGCAACGCGAAAAACCUUACCUACCCUUGACAUGUACGGAACCUUUGAGAGAUCAGAGGGUGCUCGAAAGAGAGCCGUAACACAGGUGCUGCAUGGCUGUCGUCAGCUCGUGUCGUGAGAUGUUGGGUUAAGUCCCGCAACGAGCGCAACCCUUGUCAUUAGUUGCUACGAAAGGGCACUCUAAUGAGACUGCCGGUGACAAACCGGAGGAAGGUGGGGAUGACGUCAAGUCCUCAUGGCCCUUAUGGGUAGGGCUUCACACGUCAUACAAUGGUACAUACAGAGGGCCGCCAACCCGCGAGGGGGAGCUAAUCCCAGAAAGUGUAUCGUAGUCCGGAUCGCAGUCUGCAACUCGACUGCGUGAAGUUGGGAUCGCUAGUAAUCGCGGAUCAGCAUGUCGCGGUGAAUACGUUCCCGGGUCUUGUACACACCGCCCGUCACACCAUGGGAGCGGGUUUUACCAGAAGUAGGUAGCUUAACCGCAAGGAGGGCGCUUACCACGGUAGGAUUCGUGACUGGGGUGAAGUCGUAACAAGGUAACC